ensembl:lncRNA
GCCAUGUUAACGUACGGUUAAAGUGCUUUUCUAUAGCGCUAGUGUUUUGUUAUUCUCUGCUGGACGGGUUGUUAUUCUCUGCGGAUGGGUUGACAUGCUGCACGCACAGGUGUUUGUGUAAACGUUCUUCAUCGGUGACAAACGGAUGUAGUUUGGUUGUAGGUGAGUGCUGCGGAUGAACAGGUGAGGAGUGUGCCUUCGAGGCUCAGAGACCUGGCUGACGGCCUAAUGCUGGGAGGCACGAGGAAGAAAUGGACAGCAGAGAGGGCGUUGGUGAAGUGUUAUGAAGAGCACACCCAUUGUCUCAUUCCAUAUAAGUUAAUAAGUCCCUUUCCAUCCUCUGAAAUGGCAGUGAAGCACUGAAAGAAACAGCUCAAGUGGAACAGCAUGGACCCGAGUAAUGAGUCACUGAGUUGUUUCGCCACUGUGAUCGAAUGCAUUUGGAAGAAUGUGUUUCCUACAAUACUUUUUCAAAGGGCCAUACCACCGCUACUGAAUCUACAGCGUGAAACAGUGUAGUCCAAUAUAGAAUGAACGACUCUGUCAGUAGCUUUAUUUCACUUGAUGAAAAUGAUUGCUUUUUCGUUAAAGUUAACAGUAACGACACUGAACUGAGUGCCGUGCUGUAACAGAUCUUGAAACCCACUAUUCCCUGGAUUAAAGUGGAGUGAGGUCAGCAUGUUGCCUUAACUCAGUUUUCUCAGUGUUUGGGUGUAGUCGACCCGGGGUAUCCUUCAGACCCUGCAGCCACUGGAAUGAAAGCUGCCUCACUGCGGUUAGUUAAAUAGUUGGACAAUGACAGCAUGUGGUGGCCAUGACUCAAGGCAGUCUGGGUGAGCGAUGGAACUACUGAGCUCUGGAGGACAAAGGAGAGAGAAUCAGCAAGAAAACACACACUGACCUGGUUUAAAUUUGCAUAGAAGGAUAAGAAGAAUUAGAUGGUUUCCACUGUCAAUGUUUCAAAAGUUAUGAGAACAGCUGGCAGUCUUAGUUAUUUGACUGCCAUAAUACAGUCUGAAGUCUUUAUUGGAUUACAUAACUCUUCUGGCAACAUUUGGAAGCACAAGAUUUGGAAUAAUAUUAUAAGCUCUCUGAUUGGUGAGUAGAUCUUAAUCCCCGCCUACAUUCCACAGUGACUGCUCG